rnacentral:rRNA from 1 species
AUGAAUGAUAUAAUUGAUGAAUUGGAGUUCACUUGUCAUAAGAGAGGUCGAGACGAUGAACAACUCUUUGAGUCAAUUCUGGAUGAAGAAAAGUUGUCAAAAUAUCCUUUAGUUGAACCUAACAAUGUUUCCGAACAAGAAGAAAGUGAUUCAAAUGAUCAGGAAGUUUCUACCCAACAAGAUGAAGGUCAUACUUCUAGAAGACGCGUGCGCAUUGCUUCACACAGUGAGAGAUGUACCGGUAGGUCUUCCAAACGACGGAGAAGUACCACCAAUGAGCAAGAGACUUCGAAUAUCCAGAAGGCAUUUAGUGAAGCAAAGUGUUUUUCGAGUAAAAACAUUGAACAAAUGAAGACAUACUACAAAACAGACGAGAUUCAGCAUAACAUAUAUCAAUGGAUUUAUUCGGGAAGGAAAUCGGCUAUUCCUUGA